CCGUCGUCCAGGCAAUCGGAGCCGUGGCGGGCGUGGUGUCACCGACGGUGUGCGACCGCGUGGUAGCAGAGGGGUGAUGGACUCGAAAUCGUCUGAGAAGAUAAGGGAGAUGAGCAGAUCGUCGGGGAAGCAAGCUGGAUUGCCGGCAAGAUUGACUGUGAUUGCUUGCUGAAGAAAUAGUGCAUGUAUAGGAAGAUUGUUGUGAAACUUGCUGAAGAGAAAUUGAUGUUGAAGAAUGGAACUAUUCAGCAAAAGGGAGCUAUACUGAAGAUGAAGACAUGGAGAAAGAUGAGCGCAAAGGCUCAGUUGGCACAGAAUAUGGCUAGGGGUAGAAAAGAACUAUUAUCUGUCAUUUUUGUAGUUGGAUGUAGCAUUGUGUAUGUAGUCUGUGCUUUGUAUGAAACAAUGAGAGAAUUGUGUAAGGUCAAAUGAAAUAAAAUCUGGGUUGUCAUAUUCUA